rnacentral:rRNA from 1 species
UACGUAGGGGGCAAGCGUUGUCCGGAUUUAUUGGGCGUAAAGAGCGUGUAGGCGGUUAGGUAGGUCCGUUGUGAAAACUCGAGGCUCAACCUCGAGACGCCGAUGGAAACCAUCUGACUAGAGUCCGGAAGAGGAGAGUGGAAUUCCUGGUGUAGCGGUGAAAUGCGCAGAUAUCAGGAAGAACACCCGUGGCUAAGGCGGCUCCUCUAGUACGUGACUGACGCUGAGACGCGAAAGCGUGGGGAGCGAACAGG